GAUGAAGAACGUAGCGAAAUGCGAUACUUGGUGUGAAUUGCAGAAUCCCGUGAACCAUCGAGUCUUUGAACGCAAGUUGCGCCCGAAGCCAUCAGGUUGAGGGCACGUCUGCCUGGGCGUCACAUAUCGUUGCCCAAUGCCUAUUGCAGUGCAAUAGGAAUUUCUAGGGCGAAUGAUGGCUUCCCGUGAGCGUUGUUGCCUCGCGGUUGGUUGAAAAUCGAGUCCUUGGUAGGGUGUUCCAUGGUAGAUGGUGGUCGAGUUAGAACGAUACCGAUCAUGUGCAUGCUCCCCAAAAUAUGGCCUCUAUGACCCACACGCGUCGUUUGACGCUCAUGACGAGACCUCAGGUCAGGCGGGGCUACCCGCUGAAUUUAAGCAUAUCAAUAAGCGGAGGA
rnacentral:misc_RNA from 1 species